CAAUAGCGUAUAUUAAAGCUGUUGCGGUUAAAAAGCUCGUAGUUGGAUUUCUGUCAAGGACAACUGGUCCGCCCUCCGGGUGAGCACAUAGUUUGGUCUUGACAUCUUGCUGGAAGCUGUUGUUGCACUUGGCUGUGUGGCGCAGUGUUCAGCACUUUCACUUUGAGGAAAUUGGAGUGUUUCAAGCAGGCACAUGCCUUUGGACACAGUAGCAUGGAAUAAUUAGAUUGGGCUUUUGCUCCAAUUUGUCGGUUUCUGGAGCUGAGGUGAGUAUUAAUGGGGAUUGUUGGGGGCAUCCGAAUUUAGCCGUCAGAGGUGAAAUUCUUGGAUCUGCUAAAGACGGACAACUGCGAAAGCGUUUGCCCAGGAUGUUUUCAUUGA
rnacentral:rRNA from 1 species